rnacentral:lncRNA from 1 species
UGAAUAUUUUUGGCGUGACAAUGCCACUGAAUAUAACAUUCAGAAGUGAAAAGCACAUCGGAACGCUCAUAUUUCAUUUCACUGUUACAACAUAUCACUGCAAUCAGAAUGUUUAUGUUGACAAAGUAGUUACAUUUAUUUUAUUUGCAUUAUGCAUAUUUUGCACGAUAUAAUGUGUUUUCACCCCUAAUGAAAUACACACGCAUUUAUAUAUAUAUAAUCCAAACAGAAAAAAGAUAACAUUAUAGGUAUUGAAUUAUAAAAAAAAUACUUUAUGAUGUAAAUAAUGCUAGAGUUUGGGGAAAACUGGCUUGGAAUGAAGAUUUAUUGUGUAUGAAAUAUGCAAUUAAGGGAUGCUGAGGAUAUCGAACAUCCAAAAAUGUUUAUGCUAUGUUGUGUCUUAAAACAGAUUGUGUAUGGCACUCAAUGAAUACAUGGAGGUUUGAAUGCUAAUCUCAAGUCUUUUAAUUGGAUAUCCAGUGCAGUGUUUUUGAUUUCUUUAGCACCUUAAAAGGUAACAUAAUAAUUAAAAUGAAUUCAAAUUGAGUUUCAAAUCAAUCAAAGUUUAGUGCUUUAAGCUUAAAAAAUUAGGUAAAUUUAACGCCAUACGUGCAAAGUGGUGUUUUUACGAAAGAGGCAGUGAAAUGCCAUGAAUUUGGAACUCUUAAUAAAAAAAAAAGGGAAAUGGUGUUUCCUUUGAGAAUCUCGGUUAAGUGAAGAGGUUCUGGAAUUUAACAUAUAGGUUACAAAAUCCUAUAGAAAUUUGAUAUCAUAUAUAUACAAAACAUUCAAUGUGUACCCCACUGAAUCUUUCCUAAAUUUAUUGAAAAGAAAAUAAGGAGAAAUGGCUUUGAUUGCAAAUCUGGGUAACUGAUUUAAAGCAAAUGUAGCAUACGAUUUAAAUUUAAAUCCGAACUUUAUCAUAAAAAAUAGCAUAAAAAGUUGCAUAAAUGAAGUAAAAUAUACAAAAACAUGCAUUAUACUAUAAUACGUCGCUUUCAUUUCCUUCCUGUACUUGGCGCUAAUAAUAAUUUGUGCAAAUACAAAACUCAUAUCUUGAAAUAAAUAAAUGUGACACGCACACAUUGUCACUGUAGCACACAAUCUUUGCAUCAGUUAAGAUAAUAUAAUAACAAAUAGGUAUAAAAGACGCCAGAAAUAUUAUUAAAUUAUUUUAUAGAAAAGAUAUAAAAGAUGUAGAAUGAAAGACUUUCGCAUUAUCACACAAUACAAAUUCAU